rnacentral:rRNA from 1 species
UAAGGGUGGUAUUUAUUAGACUGAAGCCAAUAUUCCUUGUGUCUAUUGCGGUGAUUCAUAAUAACUGAUCGAAUCUCUUUUUGAGAUAAAUCAUUCAAGUUUCUGCCCUAUCAGCUUUCGAUGGUAGUGUAUUGGACUACCAUGGCAGUAACGGGUAACGAAGAAUUAGGGUUCGAUUUCGGAGAGGGAGCAUGAGAAACGGCUACCACAUCUAAGGAAGGCAGCAGGCGCGUAAAUUACCCAAUCCUGACUCAGGGAGGUAGUGACAAGAAAUAGCAAACCGGGAACCUCAUGGUUUCACGGUAUUGCAAUGAGAACAAUUUAAAACCCUUAGCGAGAAUCAAGUGGAGGACAAGUCUGGUGCCAGCACCCGCGGUAAUUCCAGCUCCACUAGCGUAUAUUAAAGUUGUUGCAGUUAAAAAGCUCGUAGUUGAACCUCUGUCUGGGGCUAGUUUUGGCUUUGGUCAGGCUAGUUCUAGGCAUCCGCCUACAAGACUUAGAGGACAUUCAGUUGUUCACUAGGAGGAGUAGGCAUUUUACUUUGAAAAAAUUAGAGUGUUUAAGGCAGGCAAUCGCCCGCAUAUAUUAGCAUGGAAUAAUAGAAUAGGACACUUUUCCAUUUCGUUGGUUAUUGGAAUCGUGUAAUGAUUAAUAGGGACAGUUGUGGGCAUUUGUAUUUAAUUGUCAGAGGUGAAAUUCUUGGAUUUAUUAAAGACAAACUAACGCGAAAGCAUUUGCCAAGGAUGUUUUCAUUAAUCAAGAACGAAAGUUAGGGGAUCAAAGACGAUCAGAUACCGUCCUAGUCUUAACUAUAAACUAUUCCGACUCAAUGUUUGACUGGCUUAUAUAACCAGUUGAGCGUUGUAUGAGAAAUCAAAGUCUUUAGGUUCUGGGGGGAGUAUGGUUGCAAAGCUGAAACUUAAAGGAAUUGACGGAAGAGCACAACCAGGAGUGGAUUCUGCGGUUUAAUUUGACUCAACACAGGGGAAACUUACCAGGUUAAAACAAUAGUGGGAUUGACAGUUUGAGAGCGCUUUCUUGAUUGGUUGGGUGGUGGUGCAUGGCCGUUCUUAGUUGGUGGAGUGAUUUGUCUGCUUAAUUGCGUUAACGAACGAGACCUUAACCUGCUUACUAGACUGGCGAUCAUCAAUCGUUAGCUCUUCUUAGAGGGACUUUGGUUGUUUUAACUCCAAGGAAGUUUGAGGCAAUAACAGGUCUGUGAUGCCCUUAGAUAUCCUGGGCCGCACGCGUCAUACAAUGACUAGUUCAGAAAGUUUUCUCCUGACCCGAAAGGGGAUGGGUAAUCUUGAUAAUACUAGUCGUGUUAGGGAUCGAUCUUUGCAAUUAUAGAUCUUGAACGAGGAAUUCCU